UCUCAUCCCACUUGUUAGCUCACCUGGUUGUGGAUUAGGUCAUAAAUGGCCCUUCUAAGUUUAAUAUUCUUAAUUCCUGGAAGCAGGUCGCGCAGGUCGUCUUCAGUCAGGGCCUGAAUGUCUGAGUCACUUUGUAAACCAGCGUCUGCAACAACGACACAGAAUGACUAAAGAUGGAAACUCAACAUUUAAACGUGAGCUCAACAGUCAUCUUAUAAAAGUGAAACAACAAAUUGUUUUUAUUAUCUAAUCCUCGUCAAUAAACAAAAGGUCACUAACUUAUCAACUCAUCAGCUGCUGGUUUGUAGAUGUCUUCUAUUUUCUUCAGUAAACCCGACAUGACUUCACCUGUAAAGCGGAAUAAAAGCAGCAUUUAUUAUUGUGUGGAAGAGAGGAAGCUUCACCUGGUGCUGCUUGUGGACGGCGUUCACUUUGGGUUUUCCAUUAAAAAAGAUUUGUGAAAAUGACAGUUGUAAGGAGAAGCAGAAUGAUGCAACAAUGGAUUUUUGUCACGGUGUGGUUCACUUCCUGUUGUAUUUUGUAGUUUUCUGCCACUCGUGUCCCCGGGUAACUUCACUUCCUGCCUUGUCCCGUCAUCCCCUGUGAUCGUCUAAUAGUUUCCACCUGUGUCCAAUCACCUGCACCUCCCUUGUGUAUUUAAGCCGUGUGUCUCUUGUGUCACUGGUCGCGUCAUUGUCUUUUGCCACGCAUGUUCUUCUCUCUUGUUGUGGAUAACCGUAGGUUCAUGCCUGUGUGUUUUUGCCCAUUUUGGAUUUUUGACCUUUGACUAUUAAAGUCCUUCUGUUCCUGCAAGUCUGCAUUUUGAGUCCUGCCUUCCACCCCCACCCCUGACAGAAUGACGCGACCCAAGAAGGGCUCAGCAGACCCGCUGCCAGACUACGGUCCGGACUACCUGGACGUAAGAAGUCCCUUCUGGCAGCGGAAAACAAAUUGUGUUUUUGGUCUCAGGAGCUAUCAGCUCGCCUGCCUCGAGCUCCGGGACCUCCUUAAUCCUAAGAGGAGCCCUGGCCAGAGGAAGAACAGACUUCCCGCUGGGCCGCCGAAGCGAUCUCCCGUUCCCGCUGGGCCGCCGAAGCAAUCUCCCGUUCCCGCUGGGCCGCCGCA
ensembl:lncRNA